rnacentral:rRNA from 1 species
AGCGAACGCUGGCGGCAGGCCUAACACAUGCAAGUCGAACGAAGUCUUCGGACUUAGUGGCGGACGGGUGAGUAACACGUGGGAACGUGCCUUUAGGUUCGGAAUAACUCAGGGAAACUUGUGCUAAUACCGAAUGUGCCCUUCGGGGGAAAGAUUUAUCGCCUUUAGAGCGGCCCGCGUCUGAUUAGCUAGUUGGUGAGGUAAAGGCUCACCAAGGCGACGAUCAGUAGCUGGUCUGAGAGGAUGAUCAGCCACAUUGGGACUGAGACACGGCCCAAAUUCCUACGGGAGGCAGCAGUGGGGAAUCUUGCGCAAUGGGCGAAAGCCUGACGCAGCCAUGCCGCGUGAAUGAUGAAGGUCUUAGGAUUGUAAAAUUCUUUCACCGGGGACGAUAAUGACGGUAGUCGGAGAAGAAGCCCCGGCUAACUUCGUGCCAGCCGCCGCGGUAA